CAAAAGAGCGCGACAGCCCCUCGCGGACGACUGCCGCGCACAAACAAAACCAAAACACAAAAUAAAAUCCAGGCCUGGUCCUCUCUCGUCUUACACAUUCGUCGCUUCGCCCUUUAUCCAUCCGGAGCUCCUCCCUUGUACUCGAGACCGGUUACAAGCUGUUCGCUUUCUUUUUCCAUGGCCCGUCUGUCUGGAUAAUCUUGUUACGUUUCGUUUUUCCAGAGGGACAAAUUCUGCUUGCUCGAACGAGCUGUGGCCCAGUCUGGAGGUCAAGGCUAUAGUGGAGAGGAGGGGGGCUGCUCUGUCAGAGAUAAGAGAGCAGAGAAUGAUGUGGCCAAAUGGCAUGGAGAGAGAAUUGGCGGAAUUAUCUGAUAUUCCCAGGAUUUAAACUUGACUGCGAAUGCCAUCCAGCACCAAACAAGAUUAUAUUCUUUCUCUCUGAAAGGAUUUAUAAAUUGUCAACC
ensembl:lncRNA